rnacentral:rRNA from 1 species
AACGAACGUUGGCGGCGUGGCUUAGGCAUGCAAGUCGAACGAGAAAGUUUCCUUCGGGGAGCGAGUAUAGUGGCAAAAGGGUGAGUAAUGAUUAGUUAACCUACCCCUAAAACUGGGAUAACUACCCGAAAGGGUUGCUAAUACCGGAUGGUCUAUGAGAGAUGCAUAUCUUUUAUAGUAAAGGCGCUCGCAAGGGUGUCGAUUAGGGAGGGGAUUAAUUCCUAUUAGCUAGUUGGUGAGGUAAUGGCUCUACCAAGGCAUUGAUGGGUAACCGAUCUGAGAGGAUGACCGGUCACACUGGGACUGAGACACUGCCCAGACUCCUACGGGAGGCUGCAGUCGCGAAUAUUCCGCAAUGGACGCAAGUCUGACGGAGCGACGCCGCGUGUGGGAUGAAGGCCUUAGGGUUGUAAACCACUGUCACACUUUAAGAAAUCAAUUAGGGUAACUCCUAGUUGUUGACAAAGGAGUGGAAGGAAGUCACGGCUAACUACGUGCCAGCAG